rnacentral:lncRNA from 1 species
AUAUUCUUCCCAAUAAAAAUCCCCCCAAAAAUAUGCAAAAGAACAUAUGUUCAAACGAAUAGCGGUUUAGUAUAACCAACAGGAAACCAUUGAUGUGUGCAGCAAUUUUGGUAACACAUCAAGGCCAGAAUGAAGUUAUUGAAGAAUAUUUUUCCAAACUUAGUGUUGUAAUAUAGGAUAACCAACAGGAGACCAUUGAUGUGUGAAAUUAUAUUGGUGACACUGCAGCGUAAAAGAGUGCAAUAUUUUUGAAGGCGUAGUAUCCAUACUGAAAAAACGCUUGCCCACCUUUUUUGCCCUUGCCCUACUUUUUUGCAGGAUUUCUAAUGGUUCAGCUGGUCAUAGGCUUCUAUUAUAAUCUGAUUUCAGCAGCUACCAGCUAGUUUGACCAGUUUCAGAUAUGUUUUCGUAUGAUUUCUGAUGGUUAACCCCAGCUGAAAUCAUCUAUACCAUCUACCUACCAUAUGCUGGUUUUCAACUGAUUUGUGUAGCAGCGAUCUCUCUCCAGUAGGGGCUACGGCUGCGCGAGCAACGGUGUUGCACUUUGAAGACAGUCCCUGGCUCUGUGCACAGUCACAGUGCACUAGUCUCAAAGCCGGGGGCACAUGUGUCCAGUUCGGAAGAGAGUUCGUUUUGAUACAAACUAGUUUGUAGCUCGUUGUCCACUUUACUACGGUUGGAAAGAGGCGUAGUUCGUGUUUAAACAACGUUUCGCUUCUGACUUCUUGAUUUGGGAACGUCUAAUCUGUGAAUAUAUCGUUCCAACACCAGAGAGUUCAAGCUCCUCGAAGACACAUCCCAGCCACGUGGUCAAUCUGCUGAGACGGCGUUUAUUGUUAAAAAAUAGGUACACCUUGAUCGUGUACACUGUUCUACAAGAUGAAUUGGAUAUCUGCAUAUUUUGGAAGAGCCUAUAAUACGGACGGGCCGAAGAAGAGGCUCCUGUCUUCAAAGUUGAGUGGUUGCUCUCAACCAGAAUGUAUAACCACGUGCCAAAAGCAUUUGAGGAAGAAACGUCCAGAGAGACUCGUCCAUGGACGCGACAAUGCUGGUUCUGGUACUGUGCCAUAAUGAGAAGAAACGUCCAGAGAGACUCGUCCAUGGACGCGACAAUGCUGGUUCUGGUACUGUGCCAUAAUGAGAAGAAACGUCCAGAGAGACUCGUCCAUGGACGCGACAAUGCUGGUUCUGGUACUGUGCCAUAAUGAGUAAGUACUGGGCUUGAUGUUUUGGGCUCUCUUGCACCAGAUUCAUGUUGUAGCCAUCGAUGAUGGCAAACCCCUUGUAUUAGUGUGGGGGAAAGGCUGGUGUCGCUAAAGGGUUUUCAUAUUAAGACUUAGCCUUAAUGCUUUGUUUGGGGUUGUCUUGAGGAUGAAUCUAUCCCGAACCUGAUUUCAUGUGAAUGAAAUUCUAUCGGAUCUGACUUCUGAAACGCAAACUAUGGUUCUUAGCAUAUCUCAACAUGCUAACAUGCUUUACAAGUCUAGUUUUAGUCUGUAGUCCUGUGCUAACUUCAUAGCUAACAUUAUCUUUUUUUGAAAUCUGCAAGAGUUUAACUGAAAUAUGUUUUCCCCUCAGGAAGAAACGUCCAGAGAGACUCGUCCAUGGACUCGACAAUGCUGGUUCUGGUACUGUGCCAUAAUGAGUAAGUACUGGGGCUGUUUUGGGCUCUCUUGCACCAGAUUCAUGUUGUAGCCAUCGAUGAUGGCAAACCCCCUUGUAUGGUUGUGGGCGAAAGGCUGGUGUUGCUAAAGGGUUUUCAUAUUAAGACUUAGCCUUAAUGCUUUGUUUGGGGUUGUCUUGAGGAUGAAUCUAUCCCGAACCUGAUUUCAUGUGAAUGAAAUUCUAUCGGAUCUGACUUCUGAAACGCAACCUAUGGUUCUUAGCAUAUCUCAGUAUGCUUUACAAGUCUAGUUUUAGUCUGUAGUCCUUUGCUAACUUCAUAGCUAACAUUAUCUAUUUUUUAAAUCUAUCCCGAACCUGAUUUCAUGUGAAUGAAAUUCUAUCGGAUCUGACUUCUGAAACGCAACCUAUGGUUCUUAGCAUAUCUCAACAUGCUAACAUGCUUUACAAGUCUAGUUUUAGUCUGUAGUCCUUUGCUAACUUCAUAGCUAACAUUAUCUAUAUUUAAAAUCUGCAAGAGUUUAACUGAAAUAUGUUUUCCCCUCAGAAAGAAACGUCCAGAGAGACUCGUCCAUGGACGCGACAAUGCUGGUUCUGGUACUGUGCCAUAAUGAGUAAGUACUGGGCUUGAUGUUUUGGGCUCUCUUGCACCAGAUUCAUGUUGUAGCCAUCGAUGAUGGCAAACCCCCUUGUAAUGUUGUAGGGGAAAGGCUGGUGUCGCUAAAGGGUUUUCAUAUUAAGACUUAGCCUUAAUGCUUUGUUUGGGGUUGUCUUGAGGAUGAAUCUAUCCCGAACCUGAUUUCAUGUGAAUGAAAUUCUAUCGGAUCUGACUUCUGAAACGCAACCUAUGGUUCUUAGCAUAUCUUAUGCUUUACAAGUCUAGUUUUAGUCUGUAGUCCUUUGCUAACUUCAUAGCUAACAUUAUCUAUAUUUAAAAUCUGCAAGAGUUUAACUUAAAUAUUUUUUCCCCUCAGGAAGAAACGUCCAGAGAGACUCGUCCAUGGACGCGACAAUGCUGGUUCUGGUACUGUGCCAUAAUGAGUAAGUACUGGGCUUGAUGUUUUGGGCUCUCUUGCACCAGAUUCAUGUUGUAGCCAUCGAUGAUGGCAAACCCCUUGUAAUGUUGUAGGGGAAAGGCUGGUGUCGCUAAAGGGUUUUCAUAUUAAGACUUAGCCUUAAUGCUUUGUUUGGGGUUGUCUUGAGGAUGAAUCUAUCCCGAACCUGAUUUCAUGUGAAUGAAAUUCUAUCGGAUCUGACUUCUGAAACGCAACCUAUGGUUCUUAGCAUAUCUUAUGCUUUACAAGUCUAGUUUUAGUCUGUAGUCCUUUGCUAACUUCAUAGCUAACAUUAUCUAUAUUUAAAAUAUGCAAGAGUUUAACUUAAAUAUGUUUUUCCCUCAGGAAGAAACGUCCAGAGAGACUCGUCCAUGGACGCGACAAUGCUGGUUCUGGUACUGUGCCAUAAUGAGUAAGUACUGGGCUUGAUGUUUUGGGCUCUCUUGCAACAGAUUCAUGUUGUAGCCAUCGAUGAUGGCAAACCCCUUGUAAUGUUGUAGGGGAAAGGCUGGUGUCGCUAAAGGGUUUUCAUAUUAAGACUUAGCCUUAAUGCUUUGUUUGGGGUUGUCUUGAGGAUGAAUCUAUCCCGAACCUGAUUUCAUGUGAAUGAAAUUCUAUCGGAUCUGACUUCUGAAACGCAACCUAUGGUUCUUAGCAUAUCUCAUGCUUUACAAGUCUAGUUUUAGUCUGUAGUCCUUUGCUAACUUCAUAGCUAACAUUAUCUAUUUUUAAAAUCUGCAAGAGUUUAACUUAAAUAUGUUUUCCCCUCAGAAAGAAACGUCCAGAGAGACUCGUCCAUGGACGCGACAAUGCUGGUUCUGGUACUGUGCCAUAAUGAGUAAGUACUGGGCUUGAUGUUUUGGGCUCUCUUGCACCAGAUUCAUGUUGUAGCCAUCGAUGAUGGCAAACCCCUUGUAUUAGUGUGGGGGAAAGGCUGGUGUCGCUAAAGGGUUUUCAUAUUAAGACUUAGCCUUAAUGCUUUGUUUGGGGUUGUCUUGAGGAUGAAUCUAUCCCGAACCUGAUUUCAUGUGAAUGAAAUUCUAUCGGAUCUGACUUCUGAAACGCUACCUAUGGUUCUUAGUAGUGCUGUCAAACGAUUAAAAUAUUUAAUCGCGAUUAAUCGCAUUUAUGUCAUAGUUAACUCAAAAUGAAUCGCGAUUAAUCGCAAAUUUUUAUUUAUUCUAAAUGUCCCUUCGUUUAUUUAUUUUUUCCAUCUUUUUAUUCUUAUUUUAAUGCCUUUAUCAACAUGGAAAAGUGGAUUGGCUUGCUUUAUGCAAAUGUUUUAUUUUAUUGAAAACCAACAUUACCAAACAGGGCGGUACAAAAUAAAAUUAUAAAGUGCACAUUUCA